rnacentral:lncRNA from 1 species
GUACCCCUGUAUAUAGCCUCCACCCUGACUCUGUACCGGUACCCCCUGUAUAUAGCCUCCACCCUGACUCUGUACCGGUACCCCCUGUAUAUAGCCUCCACCCUGACUCUGUACCGGUACCCCCUGUAUAUAGCCUCCACCCUGACUCUGUACCGGUACCCCCUGUAUAUAGCCUCCACCCUGACUCUGUACCGGUACCCCCUGUAUAUAGCCUCCACCCUGACUCUGUACCGGUACCCCCUGUAUAUAGCCUCCACAUUGACUCUAUACCGUAAUACCCUGUAUAUAGCCUCCACCCUGACUCUGUACCGGUACCCCCUGUAUAUAGCCUCCACCCUGACUCUAUACCGUAAUACCCUGUAUAUAGCCUCCACCCUGACUCUGUACCGGUACCCCCUGUAUAUAGCCUCCACCCUGACUCUGUACCGGUACCCCCUGUAUAUAGCCUCCACCCUGACUCUAUACCGUAAUACCCUGUAUAUAGCCUCCACCCUGACUCUGUACCGGUACCCCCUGUAUAUAGCCUCCACCCUGACUCUGUACCGGUACCCCCUGUAUAUAGCCUCCACCCUGACUCUAUACCGUAAUACCCUGUAUAUAGCCUCCACCCGGACUCUGUACCGGUACCCCCUGUAUAUAGCCUCCACCCUGACUCUGUACCAGUACCCCCUGUAUAUAGCCUCCACCCUGACUCUAUACCGUAAUACCCUGUAUAUAGCCUCCACCCGGACUCUGUACCGGUACCCCCUGUAUAUAGCCUCCACCCUGACUCUGUACCGGUACCCCCUGUAUAUAGCCUCCACCCUGACUCUGUACCGGUACCCCCUGUAUAUAGCCUCCACCCUGACUCUAUACCGUAAUACCCUGUAUAUAGCCUCCACCCUGACUCUGUACCGGUACCCCCUGUAUAUAACCUCCACCCUGACUCUGUACCGGUACCCCCUGUAUAUAGCCUCCACCCUGACUCUAUACCGUAAUACCCUGUAUAUAGCCUCCACCCUGACUCUGUACCGGUACCCCCUGUAUAUAGCCUCCACCCUGACUCUGUACCGGUACCCCCUGUAUAUAGCCUCCACCCUGACUCUAUACCGUAAUACCCUGUAUAUAGCCUCCACCCUGACUCUGUACCAGUACCCCCUGUAUAUAGCCUCCACCCUGACUCUAUACCGUAAUACCCUGUAUAUAGCCUCCACCCUGACUCUGUACCGGUACCCCCUGUAUAUAACCUCGUUAUUGUUAUUCUUAUUGUGUUACUUUUUAUUAUAA